UGGUGUGGGCCCAGUGACCAUAGUGUAAAU
rnacentral:piRNA from 1 species